rnacentral:ncRNA from 1 species
CUUAUCAAGAGCGGCGGAGGGACUGGCCCUGUGAUGCCCGGCAACCUGCAUCCGCAAGGUGCUAAAUCCAGCGGUAUGAAACCGGAAGAUGAG